AUACGGAGGGGGUUAGCGUUGUUCGGAAUUACUGGGCGUAAAGCGCACGUAGGCGGAAUGUUAAGUUAGAGGUGAAAUCCCAGGGCUCAACCCUGGAACUGCCUUUAAUACUGGCAAUCUAGAGACCGAGAGAGGCGAGUGGAAUUCCGAGUGUAGAGGUGAAAUGCGUAGAUAUUCGGAGGAACACCAGUGGCGAAGGCGGCUCACUGGCUCGGUACUGACGCUGAGGUGCGAAAGCGUGGGGAGCAAACAGGAUUAGAAACCCUAGUAGUCC
rnacentral:rRNA from 1 species